UCAAAAGAAUUAAUCCAAUAAGACCUGCAAUCAACCUCUUUAGUUGAUUGGAAACAUAUUUGUACAUUCAGACGCUCCAGCAUAUCACAGAAGCUAGAGGUCAAUAAACUACAUGUCAUAAAUGGUACGAAGUGAAUGAAAAGUUACAUCCACGUUAAAUAUUACAACCUCAUUUCAGGAUCCGGCACGGAUCAUGAAGAGUUUUAUUUAU
rnacentral:misc_RNA from 1 species